rnacentral:rRNA from 1 species
GACGAAGGUGGCGAGCGUUGUUCGGAAUCACUGGGCAUAAAGCGCACGUAGGCGGCGGCGUAAGUUGGAUGUGAAAUCCCCCGGCCCAACCGGGGAACUGCGUCCAGUACUGCGUUGCUUGAGGAUCCAAGGGGUGCAUGGAAUUCCCGGUGGAGCGGUGAAAUGCGUUGAUAUCGGGAGGAACAUCAGUGGCGAAGGCGGCCAUCUGGAUCAACACUGACGCUGAGGCACGAAAGCGUGGGGAGCAAACAGG